rnacentral:rRNA from 1 species
UACGUAGGGGGCAAGCGUUGUCCGGAUUCAUUGGGCGUAAAGAGCGUGUAGGCGGCCAGGUAGGUCGGUUGUGAAAACUGGAGGCUCAACCUUCAGACGUCGACCGAAACCAUCUGGCUAGAGUCCGGGAGAGGAGAGUGGAAUUCCUGGUGUAGCGGUGAAAUGCGCAGAUAUCAGGAGGAACACCGAUGGCGAAAGCAGGUACCUGGACCAUUACUGACGCUCAGCUGCGAAAGCUAGGGGAGCAAACAGG